UAAUCUCAUCCGAAUCUGUUGCA
rnacentral:miRNA from 1 species